ensembl:snRNA U6 U6 spliceosomal RNA
UAGUUUAGAACGUCACUUAAAAGUUCUAAUUUCAAAGAUUAGCAUGGCCCUUGCACAAGGAUGACACGCAAAUUCGUGAAGCGUUCCAUAUUUUU